GACGAACGCUGGCGGCGCGCCUAACACAUGCAAGUCGAACGGAGUCAAGAGGAGCUUGCUUUUCUUGACUUAGUGGCGAACGGGUGAGUAACGCGUGAGUAACCUGCCCUGGAGUGGGGGACAACAGUUGGAAACGACUGCUAAUACCGCAUAAGCCCACGGAUCCGCAUGGAUCUGCGGGAAAAGGAUUUAUUCGCUUCAUGAUGGACUCGCGUCCAAUUAGCUAGUUGGUGAGGUAACGGCCCACCAAGGCGACGAUUGGUAGCCGGACUGAGAGGUUGAACGGCCACAUUGGGACUGAGACACGGCCCAGACUCCUACGGGAGGCAGCAGUGGGGGAUAUUGCACAAUGGGGGAAACCCUGAUGCAGCGACGCCGCGUGGAGGAAGAAGGUUUUCGGAUUGUAAACUCCUGUCGUGAGGGACGAUAAUGACGGUACCUAACAAGAAAGCACCGGCUAACUACGUG
rnacentral:rRNA from 1 species